AGCUACACUAACAGAUACUUGGCACCUGGCUUUGUUCAGGUGUAAUCUGCCCCGGGUGCUGAGAGGCAGUGGGAAAUCACAGUGUGUAAGGGAACGGAAGCCCAAUAAAACUGGGGUGAUAUGGGGAGCCAGAGACUCUUCCCAAAGAAGCUGGAAGGAAGGAGCAUGGGUUCAACUCAAGCGUCUCAUCUGCUGUGAAGCCUUUUUGUGACUCCUCCCAGAGCGGCCAUGUUGCACAUCUCCAGGGUAUCACUCACGCUGGACUCUAAAGGCUGCCAAUCACAUGGAAAAUCAUGUACAUCAUCACCCUAGAGGUUGCAAUAGAGAGCACCAUAUGCCAUCCUAAGUGAGCUUGAAUCCUCUCCCAUUAUGAGUACAAUCUGGUACCAUAUCUGUCUCCUCCUCCAGACAUUAAGGCAAGCUCUUUAAUGUAAGGGUCGUGUCUUAUAUUGAGUGAACAGUCAGAGGAAGUCUUUGAAAGUCAGCAUGUGAAAGGACAAGGACCUAAACUGUACAUUCAGAUUUAGAAUCCAGAAGAAAGAACAAGUUUCAUGGGCCAGCUUAAGUUGGGCCAUUCUGGGUACAAACACCAAAAAGAACAAUGCCAACUAAUUGGCUGGAGUGCCAUUAGUCUGAUGCUGUUGGUGCAGAAAAUAUAGCCAGUUCUUUCCAGCUGUUCUGGAUACACGCACAAGAUAUUUUUGCUCUUGGUGAAAAAUCUCAGUUGGCCUGAUUCCAGCCACAUGGAAUGGAUUUUUGUUUUUUGGUCAACUUAGGAGAAACUUGGCCAUUUCAUCAUAAAAUACACUUAUGGAAGG
rnacentral:lncRNA from 1 species